GAUGAACGCUGGCGGCGUGCCUAAUACAUGCCAGUCGAGCGAACGGACGAGAAGCUUGCUUCUCUGAUGUUAGCGGCGGACGGGUGAGUAACACGUGGAUAACCUACCUAUAAGACUGGGAUCACUUCGGGAAACCGGAGCUAAUACCGGAUAAUAUUUUGAACCGCAUGGUUCAAAAGUGAAAGACGGUCUUGCUGUCACUUAUAGAUGGAUCCGCGCUGCAUUAGCUAGUUGGUAAGGUAACGGCUUACCAAGGCAACGAUGCAUAGCCGACCUGAGAGGGUGAUCGGCCACACUGGAACUGAGACACGGUCCAGACGCCUACGGGAGGCAGCAGUAGGGAAUCGUCCGCAAUGGGCGAAAGCCUGACGGAGCAACGCCGCGUGAGUGAUGAAGGUCUUCGGAUCGUAAAACUCUGUUAUUAGGGAAGAACAUAUGUGUAAGUAACUGUGCACAUCUUGACGGUACCUAAUCAGAAAGCCACGGCUAACUACGUG
rnacentral:rRNA from 1 species